ensembl:lncRNA
GGCUUUUAAAGUGCUAUGUGAAUAUCCUACCCUAGCAGCUGAAUGUGAAAAAGCCUUCUUCUUUCUGAAAGAGUAAGGAGGUGUAAUAUCAUUCUCAGGAGACAGCAGUGCUCUGACCACAUGGAGCACGAGACUGUCACCAGUGUAAGGCACAAACAGGCAAAGUCAAGCUUUGCAGCAGUACAAAAGCAGCUGCCCUCCAUAGAGACUCGUGUCUCAGCUCAGCAGCUCUUGCUGCUUCAGAGGGGCUGUAGGAGCCACUUGGCUCCAAAAGGAGAGACAGCAGAACUGGGGGGUUAGGAUGCAAGUUGAAGAAUGACUGCUGUGUUUCAGCCGGAGCUUGGCCAGCUCUGUCUGACUCCAGCAACUGAGAGCUUAAGGACAAUGAAUCAUCUUUGCAUCUUGUUUAGUUUCUGUGUUGCAUUUCCUCCUUUAUCAGAGUGACCAUGCUGAGAUGGUUUGCCUCCUUUCAUGCUACACACAUUCCCUUGCUUUGCUUUCUACCUCCUCAUAUGUUCUUUUCUCCUCCAUUUUCUCAAGGGCAAGAUCCACCAGCACUACCAAAGACAUGGACUCUGAACAAGCAGCUUCUUCUGAGUCUUCAACAAACACCCAGAGGAAGAUGGGAAAGAGCUAUUGGUGUAGGAUAGGACCUGGAAUGCCUCUGUUCCCAAGGAAACUGGCUGAGCUGUUUGGCAUAGAGCCUUAUGUGCAGAAGCCCGGCCUUGGGAAUGGAGGUCUGGGCUCCCGGCCGGCUCAGGGGGCCUUGGCCCAGGAGCCCCGGCAGAGGCAGUGGAGCAGCGCUGCCCCCAGGGUCACUGCCAGGGAGGACAAGGUGAAGGCUGAGCAGGGCUCAACCACACACAGAGGUAAGGUGGGAGCUGGGCUGCUCUCUGGCAGGAAGAAGGGUCUUGUGCCAGCCUAGAGAGCCUGUGCACAUCCCCAGGGAACAGUUCUGCCCUGCAUGUGCCCCCUGCAAUGAGCUGUGCUGCUGCCAGUGCCCCGUGCAGCUGUAGGGCUGCUCAGCUGUGGGGCAGGGACAGGAGCAGGAGGCUGCAUGUGCAGCUGAGCCAUGGCUGCAAAGCCCAGGGCUCUGGGCUCCCUGCUGUCCCAGGCCAGCCCAGAGGCCAGGCUGUUCCUGUGGGAGCUCUGUGCUAGUGGGGCAGGGUGUCCCCUGGCCUGCCUCAAGUGGCUGCAGGCAGGAACAUGUUUCCCUGUGCAGCUAUUUAGAAGUUUUCAAGAAAUGUAUGCCAUGGAAUUUGGAGCUUCAGAUGCUUUAGGUUUGCACUGCAUUCUCUGUUACACUUUGUGUUUCCAUUUUGCAGACCGAAUGACUGCAGUGGUCUCAAGGAGGUUACCCUGGGGUCAGGAGUUUCCCUGCCAACUUCCCAGAUUCUCUUACCUUCCAAGGCCUUCCCUUCCAUCCAGAAUUGCCUUUUUCCCCUCAAAGGCCUUACCUAACUCUCUAUUAUUAAGCUGACCAUUCUGCAGGGGUAAAAAAUCCUGAUUUACGAUAUUGGUUACUUUCUACUUUGCCACCACUUGAUUUUAUCCUCUGUGAA